rnacentral:snoRNA from 1 species
AUCCCAUGAUGAGGACACUCAAGUAUGUAGUCUUGAAAGCGUUGCCAAGCUUCUGGGACUGUCUCAUCAUAUUGUUGCUAAAAGCUCGUUAUCUUCCCACGGAGAGC